rnacentral:misc_RNA from 1 species
AUGCUUGACCACGUUUUGCUUUUAACCUACUGCUUAGUUUCAACUGUUGUCAGAUCUCAACCAUCGGCAGAUGUGUUUCGAAGCUUUGCCGGAUACAUUCCUGAAGAUCACAGGGUGACACAUCAUGAAUGGCAAAAUUCAGGGAAGUUUCAAGGGGAUAUUGAUGGAGUCGAUCCUAACCUUCUCAAGCUCCCAGAAGGUCCAGUGCUUUUCAAUGCAUUAAAAAACAAGCAGUUAACGUGGGAGGGCGGUGUGAUCCCAUACGAAAUGGAUACGGCAUUCUGUGACACCGAAUGAAAUAAAAAUUUUGGAAAAAGCGUUUGACAGUUACCGACGAACAACAUGCAUUAGAUUUGAAAAACGAGAAGGUCAAACAGACUACUUAAACAUUGUAAAAGGAUAUGGGUGCUACUCUCAAGUUGGACGAACUGGAGGAAAACAGGAAAUUUCUUUGGGACGUGGCUGCUUUUUUCAUGAAAUAAUUGUACACGAACUGAUGCAUUCCGUCGGAUUUUGGCACGAACACUCGAGAGCUGAUCGCGAUGAUCACAUUAAGAUCAACUGGGAUAAUAUUCUGCCUGGAAUGAAGUCUCAAUUCGAUAAAAUUUCGGCAGUGUUACAAGAUCUUCAAGGAGAAAACUACGAUUACAAAUCAAUAAUGCACUAUGACAGCACUGCGUUUUCAAGAAACGGACGAAACACAAUAGAAACUGUAGAAAAUGGAUUCACACAGGUUAUUGGGACCGCUAUGGACUUGUCACCUCUGGAUAUUGUGAAAAUCAACAAACUGUAUUCGUGUAAAACUAAGAAGAAAGAGAAAGUAAAGCCUGCAACUACCGAGGAACCUCAUCAACUGAUUCCGCAAGUUGUGGAUAAAAAUUCGGUCGAUUCUGGAGAAAAAUGUGUCGAUCAUUUUGCGGAUUGCCCGCACUUUGCACAAUACUGUACCCGUGCUUCAUUUUUCUUUGUUAUGAAAUCGUACUGUCCAUUUACGUGUAAACAUUGUCCUGGUGAUCGAAAACUCAAAAAAUCGGGAUGA